rnacentral:tRNA from 2 species
UCCGAAAUGGUCUAGUGGCUAGGAUUUCUCGCUCUCACCGAGGAGGCCGGGGUUCAAUUCCCCGUUUCGGAA